rnacentral:rRNA from 1 species
AGAGUUUGAUCCUGGCUCAGAGCGAACGCUGGCGGCGUGCUUAACACAUGCAAGUCGAGUGCGCGUCUGUAGCAAUACAGAUGGCGCACGGCGCACGGGUGCGUAACACGUGGGUAUCUGCCCUUCGAAGGGGAAUAACUCGCCGAAAGGCGAGCUAAUUCCGCAUAACAUUCCGAGAACUUUGGUUUUUGGAUUCAAAGGCGUAAGUCGUCGGAGGAGGAGCCCGCGCACGAUUAGCUAGUUGGUAGGGUAACGGCCUACCAAGGCUAUGAUCGUUAGCUGGUCUGAGAGGAUGGCCAGCCACACUGGAACUGAGACACGGUCCAGACUCCUACGGGAGGCAGCAGUGGGGAAUCUUGCACAAUGGGCGAAAGCCUGAUGCAGCGACGCCGCGUGGGGGAUGAAGCUUCUCGGAGUGUAAACCCCUUUCGACCCGGACGAAUGCCCCGCAAGGGGACUGACGGUACGGGUAUAAGAAGCCCCGGCUAACUACGUGCCAGCAGCCGCGGUAAGACGUAGGGGGCCAGCGUUGCUCGGAAUUACUGGGUGUAAAGGGUUCGUAGGCGGUGUGGCAAGUCGGGAGUGAAAUCUCUGGGCUCAACCCAGAGUCUGCUUCCGAAACUGCUGUGCUUGAGUGUGGGAGAGGCGCGUGGAAUUGCAGGUGUAGCGGUGAAAUGCGUAGAUAUCUGCAGGAACACCCGUGGCGAAAGCGGCGCGCUGGACCACUACUGACGCUGAGGAACGAAAGCUAGGGGAGCAAACAGGAUUAGAUACCCUAGUAGUCC